rnacentral:rRNA from 1 species
UGGGGAAUAUUGGACAAUGGGGGAAACCCUGAUCCAGCGACGCCGCGUGUGUGAAGAAGGCCUGCGGGUUGUAAAGCACUUUUAGUGGGGAUGAAAAGUUUGGGGCUAAUACCCCCGGACCUUGACCUAACCUACAGAAAAAGCACCGGCUAACUCUGUGCCAGCAGCCGCGGUAAUACAGAGGGUGCGAGCGUUAAUCGGAAUUACUGGGCGUAAAGCGUGCGCAGACGGUUAUGUAAGUCGGAUGUGAAAUCCCCGGGCUCAACCUGGGAAUUGCAUUCGAAACUGCAUGGCUAGGGUACGGAAGAGGGAAGCGGAAUUUCUGGUGUAGCGGUGAAAUGCGUAGAUAUCAGAAGGAACAUCAGUGGCGAAAGCGGCUUCCUGGUCCAGUACCGACGUUCAGGCACGAAAGCGUGGGGAGCAAACAGG